AUCCAACUGACGAGUCCCAAAUAGGACGAAGCGACGCGCCUCGUGGAU
rnacentral:hammerhead_ribozyme from 1 species